CCUACGGGUGGCAGCAGUGGGGGAUAUUGCACAAUGGGGGGAACCCUGAUGCAGCGACGCCGCGUGGGUGAAGGAGGGCUUCGGCAUGUAAAGCACUAUCGGCAGGGAAGAAGCCAGACGGUACCUGACUAAGAAGCACCGACUAACUACGUGCCAGCAGCCGCGGUAAAACGGAGGGGGCGAGCGUUAUCCGGAUGCACUGGGUGUAAAGGGAGCGGAGGCGGCCAUGCAAGCCAGGGGUGAAAGCCCGGGGCCCAACCCCGGGACUGCCCUUGGAACUGUGCGGCUAGAGUGCGGGAGGGGCAGGCGGAAUUCCUGGUGUAGCGGUGAAAUGCGUAGAGAUCAGGAGGAACACCGGCGGCGAAGGCGGCCUGCUGGACCGCGACUGACGUUGAGGCGCGAAAGCGUGGGGAGCGAACAGGAUUAGAUACCCCUGUAGUC
rnacentral:rRNA from 1 species